rnacentral:rRNA from 1 species
UACGAAGGGGGCUAGCGUUGCUCGGAAUCACUGGGCGUAAAGGGUGCGUAGGCGGGUCUUUAAGUCAGGGGUGAAAUCCUGGAGCUCAACUCCAGAACUGCCUUUGAUACUGAAGAUCUUGAGUUCGGGAGAGGUGAGUGGAACUGCGAGUGUAGAGGUGAAAUUCGUAGAUAUUCGCAAGAACACCAGUGGCGAAGGGCGGCUCACUGGCCCGAUACGUGGACGC